rnacentral:rRNA from 1 species
GACGGAGGAUGCAAGUGUUAUCCGGAAUCACUGGGCGUAAAGCGUCUGUAGGUGGUUUAAUAAGUCUAUUGUUAAAUCUUGAAGCUUAACUUCAAAACAGCAAUAGAAACUGUUAAACUAGAGUAUAGUAGAGGUAAAAGGAAUUUCCAGUGGAGCGGUGAAAUGCGUAGAUAUUGGAAAGAACACCGAUGGCGAAAGCAUUUUACUGGGCUAUAACUGACACUCAGAGACGAAAGCUAGGGUAGCAAAUGGG